AAAAAUACUCGGAAAAACAUUGAAAACAAUUUUUGCAAAAAUACUACCACCGAGAACACUCUGACACACACUGGAAAAAAAAAGGCUCGUGGAUUCUGAGUCCGGCAGAAUUUCGGUAUCCGACUCCACCUUGUUUACAUUGGAAGGUUAGGGAUCCACGGCGGAGAAGCCAUUCAGUGGUACCAACUUAACAUGUUUUUCACUAGGGCGCGGGACUACGUUAGGUUAGGUUAGGUUAGGUUAGGUUAGGUUAGGUUAGGUUAGGUUAGGUUAGGUUAGAUUAUGUUAGAUUAGAUUAAUUUAUAUUUCAUUUUUUUCUCUAAAAAACCGAUUUGUCAUUUGCGAUUAAUGCAAUUCUAGUGUCAUUCACGUUUCAUGGGUUGGUAUCACUCCACUUUUUCCUUCCAAAAUGGCGGAGGAGUCGGUUACCGAAAUUUCGCCGAAAAAACGUUUAAAUCAAGAGUAUUUUUUCUUGUUUUUUUCAGAGUCUGGAUUUUUCCCAGUGCAAUCUUGACAGCAUCUUAAAAACAUUGCUAAAUCCUAGUGAAUUUUUCCAUCGGGUCUCGUAUUUAAAUCGCCGAGUUGAACGUACCUAUUUUGUCGAGCGGUGUUAUUGUUGUUGUUUUUGCGGUCGGCGCGGCGGGACUUUUCCGGGGCGUAAACAAAGACAGGUGCGGCAGCGGGCCGGAGAGCGUUGCACUUGGACUUGGGCCAGGCCCGGGUCGUUUGGAACCGGCUCGGGAACUGGGACCGGACUGGCGGGCCGCGAGGGAGCAGCUCAGGCGCGGGUCUCCCGAUGUCGAUGUCGAUGUCUAUGACUGUGGAGUAUGGUCGCCGGGGGAAAGUGACUAAUUGCGCGCACGCCGCCUUGUACCGAGAGACGGCCGGCGCGGCGGUUGCGGUGACAUGCCGGCCGCACUUAAAUCAUCUACCCUCCUCGCCGGAGUCGCCAGCUCAUGGAGCCACGGAAGACUCAUCAGCUCCCACAUUCAGCGUGUGAUUCCGGUUUUGCGGAGGAAAAUAUAGGAUAUUUUUGAGCUAAUUAAAUCGGGUGACACAGAAUCGAUCACCUGAUUAUAUGACAACGACACCUGCUUCUCCAAUCAAGCCAGUCGCUUAGGAUGAGGGCAGAGCCCUCGAAACACUUUCAAUUUUUAUAAAAUUGAAAGUGCAAGGUGAGUCCUAUGCGUUUUUAAUUUCUUACUUACGGAAGAAAGCCGUAAGUGCAGUUUGGGAUGAGCCUCGGGGCGCUCUAUGUCCAACCAGCAAAUUUCAACGAAAAAGUCGCGAUAUUUUGAAAUUAAGUUGCGAUAUUUCACGAUUUUUCGGCGGUAAAAUCGCUAGGAUCUUCGACAUUUGAGCGAUAAUUCUCAAUCUUGUCGCAAUUGUAUCUCUAUGAAAUCGCGUGGUAUAAAAACGAAAUUGUACCUCAAUUCAUCGCAAUUUUGUUCGGUAAUAUUGCGAUAAACUGCUGCCGAUAAAAUCGCGAAAUUAUUGCAAAUUAAUCGCAAUUUCGCAUCCGAUAAUAUUGCAACAAUUCGACGUCGAUAGAAUCGCGAUACAUUAUCCGAUCAAAUCGCAACUUAUUGCUAUCACU
rnacentral:lncRNA from 1 species